GCUGGUGUGGCUCAGUGGAUAGAGCGUUGGCCUGUGGACCAAAGGGUCCUGCCUGGCUUCGAUUCCGGCCACAGGCA
rnacentral:tRNA from 1 species